UGGAAAUCUCACAGGCCCAAGUUACUAUGCGUAUAGUACCUUAAAGUGUAAAAUGACUUCUCCCAGAAACUUCAGGACACUUGAUGAAGAGACAGGACCUUGCUAUCUCACCCAGGCUGAAGUGCAGUGGUGCGAUCAUGGCUCACUGCAGCCUCGAACUCUUGGACUUAAGUGAUCCUCUCACCUCAACCUCCUGGGUAGCUAGGACUACAGGUGUGCACCACUAUGCCUGGGUAAUUUUUAAAAAUGUUUGUGAGACAGGAUCUCACUAUGAUGCCCAGGCUGGUCUUGAACUCCUGGUUUCAAGUGAUCCUCAUGCCUUGGCUUCCCAAAGUACUGGGAUUACAGGUGUGAGCCACCAUACCCAGCCUGAAAUUUCCACAGUAACAUCCUGCUCCAUGUGUAUGUUCCUUCACACUGUCUUCAAGCUGCUCAACGCCUAGACUCCCUUUGCUCCCAGCAGGUGACAUUACAACCUAUUUCAUCAGGCAUGGAUUUCCUCAACUUUCUGCCCCUAGAACCUGCAAUACCUGCAGGAGUAUCUAUUACCACACCCACCUCACCUCUUUAUCUCCAGCCCCAGAUGAUCAGCACUUCCUGUCCUGGAUUAUACACCUUCCUACCAUCUCAGGAACUUCAUUUAAUCAAUAGCCCCUUUUUAUCUAGUAUUUUAAAAAGCAACUGCUAUAUUUUGUUAGAAAAUUAUGUAUAACUUAA
rnacentral:lncRNA from 10 species